UAUUUUAGGCUUAAAAAAAAUAUUAAGAUGCUGAUUAAAAAUGAAGAGCCACUGUUUGCUUUUUUGGGGGAAUAAUCAAAAUUUUGCACUAAUUUAGAAUGUUCAAAUGCUGAUAGACCUCAACGUUUACAAAUCAGUACUCAAUAUCUGGAUUCAUUUUCUGUGGGGAAACAGUUGAGUAUGAGGGAGAUUCAGUUAAUGGGCGAGUGAGUAAUUAUCUAACAGCCCAACGGGUUCAGUUCGGUUUGUUGCCCGCCUAAUGUUGGGCAAACAAGACGAUUUCCUGGAGGAGUUGGGUCUCUUGGUCCCAGUGCUGACACUGGUUCGGGCUUUUGUUUGUUUAGAAUUUCAUUGGGUCUGGGAUUAAAUAUCUGGAUUAAAUGUAAACUGGAUAAGUAAAGUCAAUAGGGCUAUCGAUGCAACUGGAGUCCUUUCUAUCUAAUGGAUUUUAAAUGAAGAAAAAGGAGGAAUGUGUUCAAAUGCAGUGUAUUAGUUACGUUAAUGCAGGGAUACUUUAAGACUCUCCUGUCCAUCAUAGCAAGCAGUACUAAUCCGCAAUCAGUCUUCCUCUGGACAGCUUCAGAAUAACACACAGCGGUGGUUUCAGUGAGCAGCUACUGAACAAGAAAGACCUCGUCAUAUCAACAACUCGCUUCCAGAGUUGGAUCUGUCACCAUUGUACUUGGGGUGAAAUAAUGAGCAGCUCAGAAGCUGAGGUGUACAGUAGCGUGGGUGGAUCGUCGAGCUGUUUGGAAGAAAUAUCCUUUAGAAUUUCUGCAGCACUGGAGAAUAACUCUGCAGAAGAACGUGUGGUAAUUUCCCCUCUGCCAGAUAUCUGCUUGACUCAUUGCUUUGAGAUAUUGACGCAAACGC